AUUGAACGCUGGCGGCAGGCCUAACACAUGCAAGUCGAACGGUAGCACAGAGAGCUUGCUCUCGGGUGACGAGUGGCGGACGGGUGAGUAACGUCUGGGAAACUGCCCGAUGGAGGGGGAUAACUACUGGAAACGGUAGCUAAUACCGCGUAACGUCGCAAGACCAAAGUGGGGGACCUUCGGGCCUCACACCAUCGGAUGUGCCCAGAUGGGAUUAGCUAGUAGGUGGGGUAAUGGCUCACCUAGGCGACGAUCCCUAGCUGGUCUGAGAGGAUGACCAGCCACACUGGAACUGGGACACGGUCCAGACUCCUACGGGAGGCAGCAGUGGGGAAUAUUGCACAAUGGGCGCAAGCCCGAUGCAGCCAUGCCGCGUGUAUGAAGAAGGCCUUCGGGUUGUAAAGUACUUUCAGCGGGGAGGAAGGCGGUGAAGUUAAUAGCUUCACCGAUUGACGUUACCCGCAGAAGAAGCACCGGCUAACUCCGUGCCAGCAGCCGCCGUAA
rnacentral:rRNA from 1 species